rnacentral:rRNA from 1 species
CUAAUACAUGCAAGUCGAGCGAACGGAUAAGGAGCUUGCUCCUUUGAAGUUAGCGGCGGACGGGUGAGUAACACGUGGGUAACCUACCUAUAAGACUGGAAUAACUUCGGGAAACCGGAGCUAAUGCCGGAUAACAUUUGGAACCGCAUGGUUCUAAAGUAAAAGAUGGUUUUGCUAUCACUUAUAGAUGGACCCGCGCCGUAUUAGCUAGUUGGUAAGGUAACGGCUUACCAAGGCAACGAUACGUAGCCGACCUGAGAGGGUGAUCGGCCACACUGGAACUGAGACACGGUCCAGACUCCUACGGGAGGCAGCAGUAGGGAAUCUUCCGCAAUGGACGAAAGUCUGACGGAGCAACGCCGCGUGAGUGAUGAAGGUUUUCGGAUCGUAAAACUCUGUUAUUAGGGAAGAACAAAUGUGUAAGUAACUGUGCACAUCUUGACGGUACCUAAUCAGAAAGCCACGGCUAACUACGUGCCAGCAGCCGCGGUAAUACGUAGGUGGCAAGCGUUAUCCGGAAUUAUUGGGCGUAAAGCGCGCGUAGGCGGUUUCUUAAGUCUGAUGUGAAAGCCCACGGCUCAACCGUGGAGGGUCAUUGGAAACUGGGAAACUUGAGUACAGAAGAGGAAAGUGGAAUUCCAUGUGUAGCGGUGAAAUGCGCAGAGAUAUGGAGGAACACCAGUGGCGAAGGCGACUUUCUGGUCUGUAACUGACGCUGAUGUGCGAAAGCGUGGGGAUCAAACAGGAUUAGAUACCCUGGUAGUCCACGCCGUAAACGAUGAGUGCUAAGUGUUAGGGGGUUUCCGCCCCUUAGUGCUGCAGCUAACGCAUUAAGCA